UACACUCCUACGGGAGGCAGCAGUGGGGAAUUUUGGACAAUGGGCGAAAGCCUGAUCCAGCAAUGCCGCGUGAGUGAAGAAGGCCUUCGGGUUGUAAAGCUCUUUUGUCAGGGAAGAAACGGUGAAAGCUAAUAUCUUUUGCUAAUGACGGUACCUGAAGAAUAAGCACCGGCUAACUACGUGCCAGCAGCCGCGGUAAUACGUAGGGUGCAAGCGUUAAUCGGAAUUACUGGGCGUAAAGCGUGCGCAGGCGGUUUUGUAAGUCUGAUGUGAAAUCCCCGGGCUCAACCUGGGAAUUGCAUUGGAGACUGCAAGGCUAGAAUCUGGCAGAGGGGGGUAGAAUUCCACGUGUAGCAGUGAAAUGCGUAGAUAUGUGGAGGAACACCGAUGGCGAAGGCAGCCCCCUGGGUCAAGAUUGACGCUCAUGCACGAAAGCGCGGGGAGCAAACAGGAUUAGAUACCCGUGUAGUCC
rnacentral:rRNA from 1 species